rnacentral:misc_RNA from 1 species
GGCCGCCUGACUAUCUAUUCACAAGUCAUCUCCUUCUAUCUAGAUGACUAGACCCCAAGAUGGCAACUAGCGAACCGGAAUAGCCGGUAAAAAGUUUGUAAAAGAAGCAUAUACUACCCCACUUUCCUUCUCAUAAAACCUCCACCUGUCCGUUCUUAUCCGUUACCUUCCCUUCCUCUCCCUCGCUCUCCUUACAAAUACUCCCCCAAAACACAUACCCUAACCAUCUCAGCUCUCGUCUUUACUAUUCAUUUCCUCCUGCAACUCUAUGGUCUUUGAAACAGCUUGCUCUCUAAAGUCUUAGAAAUGGCUACUAAUCUCGUCCCCUUGGGUUCCGUCGCCAUCAGAGCCUCUGCUGCACCGGUUCCCCAUAGAUCCGACCCGAACCGUCGGAAAAGCUUUUCCUCGCCAUCGGCCAACUGGUGGAGCCCGCUCUUUGGGUGGUCCUCUGAGCCCGACUACAUUGGCUCUGAGAGUAAACCGGGAGAUUUGCAAGAGAAAAAGGAGGUCAAAUCAGAGUCGGAUCUUGAGCCGAAAUCGGCGAGAUCUCGGUUUGCACCUGGUGGCUUCACUGAGGAGAAGGCGAAACAACUCCGCAUGUUGACUAGUGAUACGUCGUCGUUUCACGAUGCUAUGUAUCACUCGGCGAUAGCGUCUCGGCUCGCUUCAGACUUCAGGCGCCGAUCCGAUCGGUAGUCGUCCGGGGAAUACGGCUAGUAACCGGAUCUUUCAUGUAUUUCAUAUAUUUUUCUUCUUCUUUUCUUAAUAUAUAAAUAGUUUCGUGAGUAAAACUUAAUCUGGGUUGCAGUUUCUUGAUGAUCAUAGAGUAAGAGAUGCUUAAUCUUGUAAUUAUUUAAGCUGAAGGAAACGGUAUGUUUAAAUUAUUCAUGUACAAAUUUAAUAAAUUUCAUUGCCGUUUUAAU